rnacentral:lncRNA from 1 species
AACAGUUCACAUUGAUGCUUUAAAUCUUAGAGGAUCUUCUUGCUUAUGGUUGGUAUGGACAGUGGCUCCAUUCUUCCAUUUGCUAUAAUUCCAACCAUAAUAUAGACCAGAUCACUUUUUGGAAAGUAAAAAGCUGCCUGGAAUCUUAGCUUCUUCUCCCCGGUUGACAUGAUUUCUUGGCACAUCCCCGAUUCUCUUGUGCUUAUCAAGCAAGUUGGGAGUGGGCACCAACUUUCGCUAGCGGAAGCAAUCUUGAUUAAAGCAGCAAGGAAGGUACAUAAACAUGACCUUCUCUAAAAAAGUUUCAGUUAAUUAAAUCUUGCCUUACCUUAAGACUCUAUUUAUUUGUUGAUGCACAUUUUUUUAUUUUGAUAUGUUUAGCUCUAAGCGAGGCUAUUUUUUGAACUGACGUUCUGUUAAGCACCAGUAAGCAGCACGGACGGUCUGUUACUAUACCUCCUUGUUUGGGAAAGUAAAUAUUUUCUGUGGGGUAGUGAGUUUGUAAAGAGAGAAGAAGAAAUCGAAGAUAGACACCCGCAGCGGUCCUACGGCUGCUUGAGAAGUUUCAACCUAUCGUCCUGUUGGUUGGUGAUGCCCUAACUGCAAUCACAGUGACAGUAAGACCGGCUUGCCAGAACUGUUUCCGGGAAACGACUCUCCGAUGUUAGACCUUCGGAAUUUUAGAGAGAGAGAGUAUGCACAUGCCUCCAUGAGAACCACAACAUUCCCUUUUGUGUUCCAACCCAGCGCGCGGCUUGACGUGUCAGCUGUCCCAUCACUCGACAAGCUAUGGCUCGGCGCGUGUCGAUACGCGUCAACCGUUGUGUCAGUGAGUAGGCUGCUGACCCCGCCGUACCCUUAUGGCGUGACUGGUGGCUAAUGAUCAACUAAUGGUGUCUAAAUCGACGGCAUGGGGGCUGAUAAAAGGUGUUCUAUCAUGCAAGUCACCUUCUGUCCCCUGACAUCCCUUGGAAAUCACGUCGGCUGUCAUUCUUCGUCCAAGUUUCUAACACGGUUAUUGUUCCGAGCUCGCUGACCAGUGGCACCUCGAAUAUAACGAAGGCUUUGGCUCGAACGGUACUUUUAUUCGCGACUGCACCGAGCUUUGGCGCAGAAGGUCUCCGAGCUCGCAGGUCUCGGCAGCUCGGUGGAGACCACUGCCCUAGUAAGGCCGACGUUCCAUCGAAUGUGAACUGAACUCCGGCGCAAGGUCGACCGAGCUUGCUCACUAGCGACAGCCCGUCCAAGGUCCCUGCCAUAAUAAGGUUUGGCGACGUAAUCGUGUAUUUUGUCCCUUUACGUUUUCGACUAGUAGUUAAGCAGACUAAUGGUUGAGAAUACAAGAGAAAAUGGUGGGCUUGCCGUAAUCAUUGGAUGAGAGAGACAUGGGGAACUGAAGAAUUUUGUUCUGUGCUGGUCCUUUACAUCAUCUUUGUGAUAUUUGGAAUCCUUAUCAUUUGAAAUCUUCCUGUGAGAAUGAAAUGCACUAGGAAUCCUCUUUCUCAAUGAUUUAAAAGCUUUUC